rnacentral:pre_miRNA from 1 species
UGGUAAAAGCAAGGAAACGGAGUCGAAGAAGAAAGACAAGGGAAAAGAACGUCCCUUUUGAGACGACCUUUUCCCCUGUCUUUCUCCUUCGACUCCGUUUCCUUGCUUUUACCAC